UAUGGGGGGACCAUCCUCCAAGGCUAAAUACUCCUGACUGACCGAUAGUGAACCAGUACCGUGAGGGAAAGGCGAAAAGAACCCCGGCGAGGGGAGUGAAAAAGAACCUGAAACCGUGUACGUACAAGCAGUGGGAGCACGCUUAGGCGUGUGACUGCGUACCUUUUGUAUAAUGGGUCAGCGACUUAUAUUCUGUAGCAAGGUUAACCGAAUAGGGGAGCCGAAGGGAAACCGAGUCUUAACUGGGCGUUAAGUUGCAGGGUAUAGACCCGAAACCCGGUGAUCUAGCCAUGGGCAGGUUGAAGGUUGGGUAACACUAACUGGAGGACCGAACCGACUAAUGUUGAAAAAUUAGCGGAUGACUUGUGGCUGGGGGUGAAAGGCCAAUCAAACCGGGAGAUAGCUGGUUCUCCCCGAAAGCUAUUUAGGUAGCGCCUCGUGAAUUCAUCUCCGGGGGUAGAGCACUGUUUCGGCAAGGGGGUCAUCCCGACUUACCAACCCGAUGCAAACUGCGAAUACCGGAGAAUGUUAUCACGGGAGACACACGGCGGGUGCUAACGUCCGUCGUGAAGAGGGAAACAACCCAGACCGCCAGCUAAGGUCCCAAAGUCAUGGUUAAGUGGGAAACGAUGUGGGAAGGCCCAGACAGCCAGGAUGUUGGCUUAGAAGCAGCCAUCAUUUAAAGAAAGCGUAAUAGCUCACUGGUCGAGUCGGCCUGCGCGGAAGAUGUAACGGGGCUAAACCAUGCACCGAAGCUGCGGCAGCGACGCUUAUGCGUUGUUGGGUAGGGGAGCGUUCUGUAAGCCUGUGAAGGUGUGCUGUGAGGCAUGCUGGAGGUAUCAGAAGUGCGAAUGCUGACAUAAGUAACGAUAAAGCGGGUGAAAAGCCCGCUCGCCGGAAGACCAAGGGUUCCUGUCCAACGUUAAUCGGGGCAGGGUGAGUCGACCCCUAAGGCGAGGCCGAAAGGCGUAGUCGAUGGGAAACAGGUUAAUAUUCCUGUACUUGGUGUUACUGCGAAGGGGGGACGGAGAAGGCUAUGUUGGCCGGGCGACGGUUGUCCCGGUUUAAGCGUGUAGGCUGGUUUUCCAGGCAAAUCCGGAAAAUCAAGGCUGAGGCGUGAUGACGAGGCACUACGGUGCUGAAGCAACAAAUGCCCUGCUUCCAGGAAAAGCCUCUAAGCAUCAGGUAACAUCAAAUCGUACCCCAAACCGACACAGGUGGUCAGGUAGAGAAUACCAAGGCGCUUGAGAGAACUCGGGUGAAGGAACUAGGCAAAAUGGUGCCGUAACUUCGGGAGAAGGCA
rnacentral:rRNA from 1 species